rnacentral:lncRNA from 1 species
UGCUUCUUCAUUGCGAGAGAUAAAGUUGUGGCGUGAAUGUCACGUGAAAUUGCUCUGAAUUGAUGAAGUUGAUUUGAAACUAAAUCAUGGGAAGGCAAAUCAGAUGGAAUAACAAGCUUUGGUUGCAAUCGCGGAGGCGGUUGUAGCUGUUGCUGUCGCACGCCAGAAACAGUCGUCGCCGACACUAAAACAAUCGUCGCAGGCGUCGAAGAUAAAUCCACAAAUCCUCCUUCAUCAUGCUUCUGCUUCUCUACCCCAAGAUUUAUCUGUGAAAAUU